rnacentral:rRNA from 1 species
AGAGUUUGAUCCUGGCUCAGAAUCAACGCUGGCGGCGUGCCUAACACAUGCAAGUCGCACGAGAAAGGGUAGCAAUACCUGAGUACAGUGGCGCACGGGUGAGUAACACGUGAAUUAUCUACCUCCGAGUGGGGAAUAACCUAGAGAAAUCUGGGCUAAUACCGCAUAACACUUACGAGUCAAAGCAGCAAUGCGCUUGGAGAGGAGUUCGCGGCCGAUUAGUUAGUUGGCGGGGUAAUGGCCCACCAAGACGAUGAUCGGUAUCCGGCCUGAGAGGGCGCACGGACACACUGGAACUGAAACACGGUCCAGACUCCUACGGGAGGCAGCAGUGGGGAAUUUUGCGCAAUGGGGGAAACCCUGACGCAGCAACGCCGCGUGGAGGAUGAAAUCCCUUGGGAUGUAAACUCCUUUCGAUCGGGACGAUUAUGACGGUACCGGAAGAAGAAGCCCCGGCUAACUUCGUGCCAGCAGCCGCGGUAAUACGAGGGGGGCAAGCGUUGUUCGGAAUUAUUGGGCGUAAAGGGCGCGUAGGCGGUUUGACAAGUCUGAUGUGAAAUCUCUGGGCUCAACCCAGAGUCUGCAUUAGAAACUGUCGGGCUUGAGUAUGGGAGAGGUGAGUGGAAUUUCCGGUGUAGCGGUGAAAUGCGUAGAUAUCGGAAGGAACACCUGUGGCGAAAGCGGCUCACUGGACCAUAACUGACGCUGAGGCGCGAAAGCUAGGGGAGCAAACAGGAUUAGAUACCCUAGUAGUCC